rnacentral:rRNA from 1 species
GACGAACGCUGGCGGCGUGCUUAACACAUGCAAGUCGAACGGAAAGGCCCUGCUUUUGUGGGGUGCUCGAGUGGCGAACGGGUGUGUAACACGUGAGUAACCUGCCCUUGACUUUGGGAUAACUUCAGGAAACUGGGGCUAAUACCGGAUAGGAGCUCCUGCUGCAUGGUGGGGGUUGGAAAGUUUCGGUGGUUGGGGAUGGACUCGCGGCUUAUCAGCUUGUUGGUGGGGUAGUGGCUUACCAAGGCUUUGGCGGGUAGCCGGCCUGAGAGGGUGACCGGCCACAUUGGGACUGAGAUACGGCCCAGACUCCUACGGGAGGCAGCAGUGGGGAAUAUUGCACAAUGGGCGGAAGCCUGAUGCGGCAACGCCGCGUGCGGGAUGACGGCCUUCGGGUUGUAAACCGCUUUCGCCUGUGACGAAGCGUGAGUGACGGUAAUGGGUAAAGAAGCACCGGCUAACUACGUG